AGAGAACCAUGUUCCUGAGGAUGGAGCAAGUGCUGUUGGGCCACACCUGCAGCUGAAGCCCCGGGGAGGAGUGCCUGCCUGUCGCCUCAGAGCAAGGCUAAGAGAUCUCCCUCAGCCUUUGAAGCCUCCAGAGAGUGAGUUUGCAGGAGAUAAGUGCUGAUAAACAUCGAGUUUGGUGCUUAUCCGCAGCAAACACGAUCUUUUGAGGUUCUCUCUGCACUCAUAAGCCAUACAGACUCUAAUCAGAAAACAGAAGGGAAAAUGCAAAACCAAGCAGUAUUUGCUGCUGAUUUUUCUUCUUUGUUGUUUUGUUUUGUUUCAGUUUACACACUGAAAAGCCCAACGUAGAUACUGUCAUACAAGAGACUCCAGAGCAGAAAUGUAGCCCUGGGUCUUUGCUUUGCUUGGCUUUUUUGGUUGUGACAUCAAGGGAAGGUGUCUUCACAGAGCUGCACAUAAAAAGAAUGGGCUGGACACUAAUAACGACGACAAUCUGCAUCCAGCAUUCUCCUUUCCAAAGCGCUCUUAGUCAUUGCAUUGUCUGGCCCUCAUGGCAACUCUUUAAGGUAGGUGGGACAGACGGUUCACAGGUAAAGAAACUGCGCCUGAGCUAGGAUAUGUGAUUUGUCCAAUGCCAAACAGCUUGAAGCGGGGUGCCAGGAGUAAAAGCCAGAUCUUUCUGGCUGUAAAGCUGGGCUCUGUUCACUCUAUACAAUGCAGAGGCUCAGCAGCUAGAAGAUAACCAGGAAUCAAAGUGGCCUCAAACUUGGGUGUCCCACCUGGAAGCAUUUGAAGAGCUCGGGCGGUAGUGGAUGAAGCCAGGUGGAGAGGGCUUUGGGCUUUGCAUCAUUUGAGUAACGAGAGAAAGGUGAGACCUUGGUUGUCUUGUAUUUCAAGGCAUUGUUUAUAUCUUAUUUCUUAGCUAUGGGAUAUUAGCAAAAAGCAGAUGUGGAAGAUGGAGUGUAGAGUAGAAAGAGCAUGGAGCCAGAGGUCCAGGGUUCUGGUCUCUGCUCCACCCCUGCCCAGGUAGGGGGUCUUGAGUUUCAGUAUUUUGUUCUAUAAAAUAAGGUGGAUGGCACUUAGGGGAGCAGGGUGAUGUUAAGGGGAGCAUGGAGAAUGUUUGCUCCCCUAUAAACUCAUUCUUCUAAAAUUAUACUGUAAUAAUGACAAUAUUAAGGUAAAACCUUGCCAUGACUUGUUAAGGCUCAAACAAUGGUAGAACCUGGUGAUGUGGAUCCCUUCCAGCUUCAAAACUCAGUGGUGUUGAUGUGGGAGUCUUGAAUUUGUGGAACUGCUGAUGACCAUUUAAGUCCAUAGAGAUAACAGGCUAUUUCCACACAGGUUUUGAUUAAGCAAUCCUACUUCUGACUGCCAAGCAAGCUCUCGCUGUUAUAUAUCAUAAGCUCCGAGCAUUCGUCUGCAGGUAGAUAGAAAGUGAAUCUUCCACAAGAACCUCACAACAAAAGUAACUGGAACUGAGCCCAAAAGAACAUUUCCUAAGGCUAAAGGUGACCUCAUUCACAUGAGCUAUCUUAGGCACCUCAAUAAGUCCUGGAUGGCCAUUUCUACCCCAAAGUGAGAUUGUGGGGUACCCUGAGGCAAGAGGGCUUUUACUCGAUCUCUAUUUAAAUUUUCUACAGAAUACAUUCAUGCAUCGUUUAUUUUAUUUAAAAUCAAUUUUUAAAGAUAAAGGAAAAUAGAAAUGUCUUGUUCACAGAUGAGUUCAUGGUUUGGAGACAGAGCUGGACUACAUUCUUGACAAAGAUUCGUUCAAGUUCUAGAACUCGUAGACAUUAGAGAGGAGGACCAUGUUGCACAGAGCUCGUGUUCCGGUGUAGUGGGGGCUGUGGUGGGAGAGGCAUGCCCCAUAUGUGUCUAUCAUUCAAGCCUUGUUUGUAAAAACCCUAUUUUCUGCUUCAGCGUUUGUCUUUUUCAGCUCCCAGUGAAGGAGGCCUGACAAUAGUGCGGUGAGGUGGUCAGGGAACUAACCCAUUUUACAGAUGAGGGAGUGGAUGAGCUUGCACCCUGGCCUCCCCUACUGUGUCCUUCUCCCACUGAGCCCUGCCAUCCCUUCCAUGUAGCUAGCUGGAUUCAACAAACUCAGUUUGAAAAAGGGCUUUCAGAAGUCCCUAUCCACUUGAGUUAGAUCUACUGCAGAAAACUGCCUCUUGAGCACUGAAAGAUAUCCAUAUUCUUUCACAGAAAUAUAUACAUCUUUUUGAAAAUGUUUGGUUGGGUUUGUGGCCGGAGGCUUGGCAUGGUUGUUUGGUUGUUAGAAUGUGCUUCCUUUGGGACGAAUGCAAACCAGGGGCUGUAUUGGGAUGCUGAGUCAGGCUCUGCCCUUAGUGACAAGGGGUCUUUGUCUUGUUCAUGGUUCUCCCCACACACCUGCAUACACACAGAUACCCACAAAAGUGCAUUUUGAAAACUAAUAAAAAUUGCACUGAAAAUAUUUAACUUAUGCAAAUACUACUAUAGCAGAAAGUACGCACAUAGACAAAACAGCAGCUAUCUGUCUUUUCUAGAAUCUGAACAAAAUUUUCUGUUGAUAAUAUAUACAGAAUUUGCUGAACAUUUGCCUUGGGAAACCAAUAAACAAUGCAGUUAUUGGUCCACUGUCAGCCUAGGCUUCUGUUUUGAGAUGUUUUACCUAUAGUGGAAAUUGUCAUCUGUACCUGGCAUGUUUCUGGGUGUGUCUAAAAUGAGCAUGUCUCAAGAAAUCUUUCCAGAUUCCUACAUUCUCAACCAAAGUUGCUCAAGUGAGAAACCAACUCAGGAUAUCAAGCUACCAGUUAGAAUUUCAAGUGUGACAAGCCUGCUACAAGAGUGUAUCUUAACUAUGGCCUCUAGGGUUUCAGAAGCCAGAGGGCUCAUGCUACCGCCAAAAGCUGUGGCUUACCAACUCAUAUCACCCCUUUCAUUGGAAGUUUCUUAAGAUUCCAAAAAGUGAGAAUUAUUACCAGGUGUUCUUUGUCUAGUGAUGUCUGAUUGCUCUGCAUAUAUGAAUGAAUGUCUACAGCUCUUCAGAAAGGAAAGCAAAGAAUAAUGUUCUUAUGCUGGGCGGGGGUGGAGGGUGGGGACCUAGGGGGUGGUUGAAUGUUCAGCUCUAGUAGCUUGCAUUUCCUGUUUAGUGGGCGUGAGGGGUUUACACAAGAAAGUCUCAAUGUUACGCUAGAUGGAUAGCCUCAUGGCUCAUGCCCAAGGAAUCUCUGCCUAAAGAUGAUCAAUUUGGCCUCUGCAUACCACAAGGAGGUUUUAGUAUUUAAGAACUUCAGGAUCAACCAUGUCCUAAUUCUAGACAGGUGUUUCAAUUGUCUUGUCCUGUUUGUUCAAAGUUCCCUUCAAAGUUAAACAAUUUCUCAGGCCAGCUCAUAGGACCCUUGAAGGAAAAUUUGAAAAACAUCUUAUUAUUCUUAAUAUUAUUUUCUGUUUGCAGGAAUGAUAUGAAUUUGCAAAGAGACUUGGCAUCUAAAGGUCGGGGGAGGCUCAGGAAGCCCUAGGAAGUUCAUAAGAACUUCACAACUUAGUUUCCAAAUUCAGACUCCUGGUUCACUCAGCUACCUAGGCCGUCAUGGCUACACAGCUGUGAUAAAGUUACCUUUCCUAUCUUUUCUAGACAUCUGAUAAUGUGGACAAUGUGAGGAUUAUUUCUCCAUUAUCAAAUUGAUCUCUCAAGGAAUUAAACCAAACAUACAGUUGCAAAGUUCUCCCAAAUUGGCGAUCAGCUCUCUGAAAAUUAAAAUCAAACGGUAUCUUAGGAAGUAUACUAUUUUCUUAGAUGUACCCAAACCUUAGAAAAAAAAGGUCCACCUUAAAUCCAUCAACACAAAUAAACGAUAACCAUGAUUACUUCUAUGUUAUUAUACAGGACUUUAAAUAUACACUGAGGUGCCAGAACAAAGUCCUGGGCUGGUUAAAUUCUUACACCCAGCUCCGUCUCUGCCUCUCUCUCUCUUUUUAAUGGAGCUGGCAGAAGAUGCAUUUUUCUAGACUUAUUUCCCCUCAUAUUGUUGUUAUUAGUAAUAAUAAUGACAAGUGAAAAUUGUAGAUUAUUUUAUAGUUUAAGACAUUGAUCUUAAUAGGAGCCUUCCCACAUCUAUAAUCUUAUUUAAUUACUAUAAUAAACUGGAGAAGAAGGCAGGAUUAUUCCCCUCCCCCACUUUGCUGAUGAAGAAACAAAGGUUCUGAAGGACUACAUUCGUGGUCACAAAGCGGGAAGGGGAAGAGUGUGAGCCCAACCCUCUGGACUCCCUUCCGUGGGGCCCUUUCCACGAGGCUGCGCUUUCUCAGCUGCAUUCUUUGCCCACAAACACUACAGCAAUGAGUACAUUUAUUUUUUCAUAUUGAUACUAUUUUUCUUACCCUUUUGAUCUUGCCCCUUUGGCUAGAUGGUAGGCGAUUUUAGGGCAAGAUCUUUAUCUGUUCGUUAUUUACCGUUUGAUCUUGCAGUGGGCUCAUUAGGGGUCCAGGGACAUUUGCUGAUUGAUGGCAUGCACUGGACAUGAGCCUGCUGGCUUUGACAUUUUAAAACUGCGCACUUCCCUCAGUGACAGUAUGCCCAAGCAACAGGCCUCCCUGACAUUUUCUCAAAACCAGGAAAUGAAACUGGCCACCAAGAGCAAGUGACCGCCAGCCAGGGCAUUGGUGCAAACCAAGCAAAACACACCACAGUGCAGGCAGCGCGGGUCACAACGAUGAAGGCAUUCGAUCUGCAGUUAUCUUUGAAGAAAUGUAACAUGUUCCUUCCUCUCACCGUGGUUUCAGCCACAAUCAUCCUCCCCUUUUAAACAGGUUGAAUUAUGUUCCUAUACAGUAUUUGUACACAAAACCCAACCUUAGACAUGCUUUUCCUUAUGAUCUUGGUCUCUGCACAUGCACGAGAAUAGCCUUCUUCCAUCUGAGUACUAAGCCCGAUCCUGCUUAGCUUCCAAGACCAGAUGAGGCACGUUCAGAGCAGUGUGGACAUGGACAGUGAAGCCUCCUCUAAACGUUUUGGCUGAAUUGGAGGACAAAGCAGGGCUGUUUAAUAUGCAAAACAUCUUUUUCUCGCAUUUUCCCUUCUAUAGCUUACCCUCUUUAACCACCCCUCUCCACCUCGCUUUUAACCAAGUCAAAUCUUUGGCAAAUGGUUUUGGGGAUAUUUUUUAGCACGUGGUAGCAAAGGUAUUUUCUUUCUGUGGCCUCGGAGCCCCUAGGUGCUCUGGGGAUGCUGCCAUUGCACAGGUAGCAGUAAUCUGAACCCCUGUAGCUCAGCAGCAAGCCCAGUCAUAAUCAUGUGCUCUGUGGCUCCUCUCCUCACUGUGCUGAUUGCGGCCCAGAUAGGAGGAGCAUGUGGCAGCUGACUCCUCGCUGAGCAAUGACUUGAGAGAGAGAAAGACAAGAACUUCUCUGCAUGUGAAUGCAUCAACGUGUGCCUCUCUAGGUACCUUUGUUCCAUGUGAAAGGAAGGGAGGCGGCCAAAGUGACCCUUGGCUAAUUAGACAAAGGCAGAUGGGCACAACAGAGAAAACUUCUAACGGAUCCAGUAUUUGCACAGCUUCAGGGACUUUCAGCGCACAGCAUCUUAUAUCACACAUGCAUAACGUUCCUGCCAACUGAGUCCAAAUGGCGAAUGUGAUCUUUGUAGCUUGACCUGUGACACCCAACAAAUUCUAGGCAAUGUGUGGAUUUGCUGUCUGUGACUCACUUUGCAUAUUUCCAUUAUUUUUAUCUACUCUGGCCCACUAACUUGACCAUGUUCACUCAGCAUCAGCCAGGUUCUAAAGAGUGAGGGGAAGCCGAGAAAGCUUGAAUGGUGGAAAUGUGUAGAGCUACUGAAUGGCGGAAGUGUGUAGAGCUACUGAGAUGCUUCCGGGACGCCAGCAGGACAGUAAUCCUACUGGUUUUUCUCAUAGUGUGGGUCCUGGACUUGCUGCCUCAAAAUCACUUGAAGUGUUGUUAAAAAUGAAGAUUCCCGGGACCAUUCCAGAUCCAGUGAAUUAGAAUCUCUGGAGCUGGAGCCAAGGAAUCAGCAUUCUUUACACUCCCCAAGGGAAUUUUGUGCAGAUGUAAGUUUCAGAGCCACUGAAUUAGGUACUCAGUGAAAAAAAAAAACCUCUUGCAAUCAAAUUUGAUUGGAAAACUGCAGACUGCAUUGUGCCGCCCUUUCCCUUGGAGCUUCAGGAUCUCCGUUAGCACAUUCAAGGCUCUGAUAAGUCCUGAUGCAAAGAGACUUGUUUAAGUUCCUUUUAAUUUCCCACACUCAGUUGAACACAGAAUCCUGUUUUGAGAAAGCAGCUUUGAGCAUCCCUUGGACACAUUUGAGAAGCAAUGAGAUGCUUUAGUAACAGCCACUAUUGCAAGUCACUGAAGGACUCUACUUGUCUAGAUCUGAUUUUUCCUCUCUUUCUCUGCCACAAACCUCCCAAACAAUUGUAAAAGGAAGUGUGCUUCUCUGGGCAAAACAAGGGCAUGUCAAGCCCAAGAGAUCAUUUACUUUUUUCUUUCUUUUUUGGUAACUAGUUGUUUUUUUAGAAUCAUAACUUGCUUUUGUUAUGUGUUGGAAGCAAUGAAGCAUAUUCCUCCCAUCUUAAUCAUUUUUGUGUAAAUGUCAUGUAAAAAAGUGGGGCUUUCCUUGACUUCUCCAAUCCCAGGCUUGUAUCUAUCCAGCCUUAACGUCUUUCUCAGAGCACUCUAGUUUUUCUUCAUAAUACCUACCACAUUUAUAAUUAGAUAUUCACCUAUGCAAAAGUGUGAUUCGUGUCGCUCUCCCAUUGGACUGCACUCAAUGGAGGCAGGGUCUUCAUCUGUUUUGUUCACCUGUGUCUCCAAGGACUUAGCACAAUGCCUGGCAGAGAGUAUGCACUCCAAAACUAUUUGUCACAUGAAAGACUUUCAAAGUUUUUAUUUAGCAGCCCAUAUAGAACAUGAGAGUCAAAAUGAUAUAGACUCAACGUUGGUUCUGUCUGCCCAUCAGAAUUUCCUGAAAAGCUUUUUUAAGAUGCACGGUUCUACCUUAGAUGUCCUAGAUGAGAAGGGGGGAAGAGAGCUGGAGAAUAAUUUGGUACUGAUUGGCUGAAUGGAUGGAGAAAGAAGGGAAACAGUGAAUUUUUUUUCUGGUCUCUUCUGCUAUAGGUUUUUAGAGAAGGCUCAGCACGUUUUGGUGCCUUAAUUUAUUUCACUGUUUAGUAAAGCUGGAGUCACAUUUGCCACUCAUCUCCUCCAAAAUUGCAUGACAUGUCUAGUUAAGCAAUUUUUGUUUCUUUUCUUUUCUAUUUUUCUUUUAUUUUUUUGAGAUGGAGUCUUGCUCUAUCCACCAGGCUGGAGCACAGUGGCACGAUCUCGGCUCACUGCAACCUCCGCCUCCCGGUUUGAAGCAAUUCUCCUGCCUCAGCCUCCCAAGUAGCUGGAAUUACAGGCGUGUGCCACCACACUCAGCUAAUUUUUGUAUUUUUAUUAGAGACAAGGUUUUGCCAUGUUGGCCAGGCUGAUCUCAAACUCUUGACCUCAAGUGAUUUGCCCACCUCCGCCUCCCAAACUGCUGGGAUUACAGGGGUGAGCCACUGCGCCCAAUCUACUUAAGCAUUUUGAAAUCUUAAAAUAAGAGACAGUUCUGAGGUCAAAUCAUGAUGACUAUUUCUAGCAUGAUGGCUUUUCAGCACAUGGCUAUGAACUUUGGGUUUUGCCAAAUGAUUUUUCAUGCAAGUUCACUCAGGAAGGUUUUUGUUUGUUUUUUGUUUUGUUUUUGUUUUUUGUUUGUUUGUUUUUUCUGACACGGCCCCUUUAACAGAAAAAAAAAGGGGGCCCCUCAAUUUGUUAACCACCCUUUCAUACUUAACCUCUUGUUUUGUGGUGCAAAAGUUACACAAGCAGACCGUUAGACAAGCACACUGGCUAGCUGGUGUGUUUUGCACCAUCUAUCUGCAGCCAGGCAAUCUGUGCUCAGAGAAGAUGAGAGCAAACUCACCAACCCCCCCCACAUUUACGUCCUAAGGGCUCCUUGCCUCUGAGUAGUGCUGGGGUUAGUCCAGCCCAGGUCAUAAGCAGCACAGGAAGCAGAGAGCAUGGCUAAUGUACAUGUCACCAUGUGGCUUAUGGUCACAGCCUCACCCUACCUUCAAACCUGUGCAAGCUGCAAGAGCAACAGGAAACGGCCAAGCGUCUAUAUAUAGCCACAUUGAACUUAUCCAAAGGUGCUGUUUUGCACAGAUUAUUAUGAACUUUUUCCACUGGGAGAGGACAUGAUGGCAUGUGCCUUUUCCUCAGGACCUCUUGAAGCACUUGUAAAAUUAACUACUCCACCUGAGAAGGAAGAAGGAUGUUAAACCUUUUGGUUUUUUCAUUUUCAAGGCAAACAGUCUGGUGCCUUUUCUUUUGAAAAAGAUUUCUGGACACAUUCAACAAAGGCUAAGAAAGGAUGGGAAAUGGCAAUGGAAGCAUGCAGGAUUUCUGUGAGCCUCUAAAUACAGCCCAUUGGGAAAACUAUUCAUUCCAUAGAUUGAGUUUCCCCUGAAAAUCAUUAAUUAGUCUUUGCUUCUCCCUAAUACAUUUCCCUGGCAAAUAAAUAAAUACAUCCCUUCGUGGUGUAUCUAUCAUGCAGCCCUUGGUGUAGCUCCCCCAAGAUCCCAAGAGGCAGAGACAAAAGGAGUGGGUGUCAGGGCUUGAAGGGCCCAGCACCACAGACCACGUUUGUUCUCAAAGGGAAGCCUUCAAAAAGAAAUGAAAACACGUCUCUGUUCCAGAGCCCUUCUUUACUGCUUUGGAAGUGACUUUCUGAGACUGCCAGUGUAUUUAUCAGCAUUCUAGCAUAGAAUGCAUGUUCUUGAUACUGGGCCUGACUUGAGUAGCACUGAUUUGCUCCAUACCCAGCUCUUCUCCCUAUUGAGUAAGCACAGAAAUAAAUAGGAUGAGCAGCACAGCUACUGAGAUGCUGACCCACAAAGGUGAGUGUAAACGUGUGGUCUACACACGCAGGCUGGGUGACCUCAGCCAAUUAGGAAACCUCUUUGAGAUUCCAGUUUUCAUCUGUAAAAUAGGGUUGUGAGGAUGGAAUGAGAAUAUAAGUGAAGUUUUUAACACAGUACACACUUAACAAAUGCACAAUACAAGGUAGGCAUAGUCAAGGUGGUAAUAAUAUACAAAUCAGAGUGGGACUUGAGAAUGGAAAGAAUCCAGAUUUCAAGAUCAUUGACUUUUCUGUUUCCUGAAACUUCCUAUGCUAACUCAGUUGGCUAGCUCUGGCAACAUGAAUGAACUUUGUGUUCUGAUAUUAGAAAUGUUUCAAGGUCAAGUGCCAGAUCAACAUAGUUUCUUCAGAGCACUCCCUAACACGGUGCCACUUAACGUGGUGCCUAAAAUUUGCAGUUCUUCUAUUCUGAAAAGGCAUUAAAGUUAUAGAAUGCAUUUUUAAAAAAUAAGCAUCUCUUUAGCAAAAAACAUUCUGGAGAACAAGGUCAAGAUGCUUCCCAUCUCCACAGUCCCACCAGCCAGUACCCGGGACACGCUCUUCCAGCCUGGUUCCCAAGAACCGGGCUCUUGGAAUGGGGAAGGAGAGGUGAAUGAUCUGGUUGCCAUCCCUUUAAAAAAGGUGACAGGUAUGUGUAUUCAUUUAGUGUACAUGACGCCUGGUACGAGGACACCAAAGGGAGCAAAAGGGAACCUCCAUUGUCCUGAGUCCUGAGUUCAUUCUGGAGCCUGCUUGGUGCACUCAUGUUUCCCACGGGCAGCGCCAUAUGCCUCACAUACCUCCACUCUGAUCCUUUUCUUUUCCCACCUCUUUAAAUGCAGAGCAUCGCCAACCAUUGUUCAGUCUCAUCACUGAAAGCUGAACACACAGUGGCAGAGGCCAAAGCCUGUGGCUGUGUGUGCCUGAGAUUAAGAAUUUAUCUGAUCUUUGACAACUUGCAGAGGAAAUCCUGUUCCAAAACUCACAGCCCUGAGAGAAGGGUUGCCAGCAGUUCUUCCCUCCCACCUGUGAGAUAAAUCAGGGCACCUGAAAUGCAAACAUGGUUGAUAAAUAUAAUAAGCUUGCCUCCUCUCGCUCUAUUAAUCUCUCCCCCUACCUUUUUUCUUUGAACCAUGGAGCACAACAAAGUCUCUUGGCAGAGCCGGGCUGGGAGUCCUUUGUGUUGCCAUCGUACAUACCCGGUUACAAAGCAGAGGUGCCUAGCAGAAGACUCCCUGCAGCUGAAACUCAAAUGACCGUCCUGUCUUUAGGAUUCACGCAAGAGCUCAGCCAGCUCUUUCUAAACUGAGGCAGACAUGGGUAGCUGUGUCAUAUCUGUGUAGACCCAAAGUGGUUCUCAACUCCUUGAGUCAAAGAACAUCAGGCAGAAGGGUGUGUCUCUGGUGGUUGGCGUAGAGGUUGCAAAAAGUUGUAGGUUCCUCUCAUUUCCUUCACCCCACCCUUGGCUAGGGGACUAAUUGAAUGCGGUUAGUUCUAGAUGGUUCAUCAUAUCCCUGGACUUGAUGUAACCAAGGCAUGUUUACCUGAUACUCAGGUACAGCUGGGAUGCCCACCAGGGCAAAUGGGGAGUGCGAAUGAGAAUUUCUGUGGCUGCAGGGAAGAAUCCCAAUACAGAACGCACUGGAACGAUUGUCUUGACUCUGCUCCUUGGAUGGCUUCCCUUACUGCAAAAUAGGAGUGGCUCUGGUCACAAGGACGCUCAGGGCAUACUGGGUGCCCAAGGGAAAUGGACAAAAGAAGGCAUGAAACCUGCCUGAGGGAGCUUUUACAGGGGCCACUGCAAUUAUGGAAGAAAUGUUGUUCAAAAAGUGUCCAAGCGUCAACACACAGGAGCACCACAAGCGGCAGGCCAGAGAGGGCGGUCCAGCUCCAGAGGCGACACAGCUAAGAGCAGGGACCUCAUCUGUCUUCGCCUCCAUUCCAUCCCUAUAUUCUACACCGUGCCGAGAAUAGGAGGUGCCAAGUACAGGCUGACAGAAUGAAUGAAUGAUUGAACGGAUGGCGCCAUGUUUAUCAAGGCAGCAGAAGAAGGCAUCCCUGAAGGGCUUGACCAUUCCGGCUCUCUGUGGUGCAUCCUACAGGGGUGAGCUCCACAUGGUUACUAGUCUUAGGGGGCUCACAGAGAAUUAAUUCUCUCUCACAAACUUGCCAGCCCCUAGUUGGCAAGGACAGAUUCUCCAGAAGCUUCUCUGGGUUAGUUGAGCAAGCUCAGGUUAGCUGGGGCUGGAGGAGAAAACACUGGCUGUGCAGAACUUGACUGGGUGGAGGGGGAAGGGCCGGGGGUGGCCAGAGGCGGCUUCUGUUGCACAGAGGUCCGGCUUCUCGCCAGACAAAGAGCCCUCAGAAAGCACCUUCCCCACCUCCGCCACACACAGAGAAGGCGCAGAGGGCCUGGCCUCUUUCUUACAAGGAGCCCGGCUGACCCUGUUGCUGUGAGGGGCAGAAAGAGUGGUAGGCAGCUGCUUGGAGACGCAGGAGUCUCUGAGCAGGGCCCGCGGAGUCUGACAACGGAAGAAAAGAGGCAACCCUUCUAUUAUUAGUGGCUGCUUUCCACGUAUGUGUAAAUCAAACAGCCUAUGCAAAAAGAGGCCUCCUGGUAGCAGGAAAUUCAGAGUUGUGGGUGUCUUUGUGCUAUCAGAUCGGGCCCUGGGCUUGCCUGCAAUCCGGUCUCAGACGGGCUUCCAUCUGGGCUGCAUUAAGAGGCACAAGGAGGUGAGCGAAGGCCCAGCUUGGCCUCCCCACCCCCCAGCGUUUCUGGUUUUAUGACUCUAGGGGGACUUCGUGACUUUUUAAACAUUGUCUUUUCAGCAUUUCAUAUGGGCUCCUUUUUAGGGCCUAUACUGAAGAUUUUAUAAAAGUACAAGAGAGAUAAGGCUGCCUCUGUUACAAAACGCCAUCCCAGGUCCAGAAGCUGGGCAUAACUAAAAUAAUAUAUACUAUUCCAGAGCCCAGGACUUGACUUCUGUGUUUAGUGGUUUGCUGUACUUCCAUCAGAAGUAGUGAUAUAGUGUAAUGAUACAGGAACGUGGCCGUAAUUUAAUACAAAGAGAAUAAAAGGAGGUUACAAAGCAAUAUGAUUCUGGCUAGAUAAAAUAAUACGUAUAUGUCUAUAUAUUUGCAUUAUAAAGACCGGAAGGAAGGGCACCAAAAUAUGAAUCGGCUGCUCUCUGUAUUGUGAGACUAUGGGUGCUUUUACAUCCUUAUUUCGAAAUUUUCUAUACGUUUUAAAUUUUAUACAAGGAUGAAGUGACACUUUUGAAAUCAUUAUUUUAAAAAACUUAAACGAUGCAUGUAAUGAGUUUUUAAAAAAGUAAGCCAAGAAACAGAGAAGAAGGAGUAGCACCUGCAGGAUGGGCUUACGAACUUAGUGCUGUUUCUCAGCAGGCUAGGGUGGGAUUUCCACGUUCCCUGUCUCCCCUGGCCCUGACUCCAUCUCCUCCCUUUUUCCUUUCCCUGUAUAGCUCUUGUCCAUUUCAGCUGGUGACCCCAUGCCGCUGGAGCACCUUUCUUUCUCACAGCACCAACCUGCCCAGCGUCUUGCCCUUGCUUGUCCCAGGAAAGCAAAUGAGGCCCCAGAAACAUGAGCAGAUGGGAUGAAUGUAAUUCAGCUCCCAAAAUUUGCUGUAAGUCUCCUUUGUCCUUCAAGUCCACCAGAGAUUGUGCCAGUCUUAUAGAGCUUACACUGAAUGCAGAGCCCUCACUGUCUUUGUGUAAUGCACUGUUUGACAGCUAAUUAGGUGGAUUUCAGCAACUUCCCAAUGUCACAUCUAUCAGAGGCAGGCAGCCUGAGACUCCCAGGGGAACUUAUUCAAGCUAUAAGUAAAUAAAUAAUACAGAUUUUACACACACACACACACACACACACACACACACACACGAGGGAAAAGGGGAGAAAGAGUACACACACACAGACCAUUUUGUCCUCACAAUGUUACGAACUGUUUUUUUUUUUUUUUUUUUUUGAUCUAACUGAUGAGGAAACUGAGACUCUGACGGGUCCAGUCACAUGGCCGGAAAUGGCAGAGCUAGAAUUUGAAUAGGGUCCUGCCUGUCUCCAAAGCCUGGACUCUUCACCAAAAUGCCGUCCCCUUCCCAUACUGCAAUCCAGGCAGGCCACUGUGGGUGUAGUGAGUCCCAAAGCUCCGUAAUUACAGGGUUCAACUCUGCCUCCAGAAUAACCGUGACAAAAUUUGUGGAAAUGUUCACAACAGCGCUUUACUUCCAGGUUCUGAGAUCAGAAACGGAAGUUUCAAAAUACCGAAAGUUCGUUUAUGUUGAACAUAGUGCUUCGGCUAAAAGCAGGAAGUCCAAGAAAGCCUGAUCUCAUGAGAUUUUUUUCAGCCCAAUUUGGAUCCACAUCGGCACUUCUGGAUUUUCCACUGAGUCUAACCUCAGCUGCUCUGCUGGCCUUACCAAGUCUGCACCUCCAGCAUGGGGCACAGAUAAAUAACACAGUCGACUGCUAUUCACUAAGAUUUACCCAGGGAUUGGCCACUUGCAAAGUAGUGAGCUGGGACAGGCAGUAGAAAGGAACAAUUGAAAUUUGAAAAAUAGGUGUUUCUUUUCAUAAAGCUAAAAAAACCCAAACCAAAACAAACAAACUCUAAACAAUAACUCAUCCAAAUAAUGGUCUUGCUGUUGUCUCCAGGUGCAGGAAACAAGUGAAAAAGAAUCUUACCACCUACUCCUUCCCGCCCCAGUCCUGGUUUCUCCAUUGGUCAGUAUCCGGCCAGCAGAGGGGAGGGGAAGGCAGUGGCACUCAGUGGUGUGCCUUGGGCUGCCAGCUUUGGGGGAGCCUCUGAAUGUUGGGGAGACUCAUUCCCAUAUCCCCACUCCCAUAGCUUGAGGCACUUUGGAAAGCAAGUUUCUCAUGUUGCAGAUGAGGAAACUGAGGUUAGGAGAAGUGGAAGGAUUUGCUCAGACCACACACAUCUAGUGAAGGCAGGAGCUGGGAUGAGAACCCAAAUCCACAAAGAUGUGGCCUCUUUUUUGAAUCAUAAUAGCUGCCCUGCCUACCUCUCAGCAUUUGAAUGGAUUAACGGACAUGAUAGGGUUUGCAAAUGACAAACAUAAAGUAAGUGUUAGUUGCUGUAUCUUGACAUAUUCCAGGUAGUGGCUCAGUUAGUGUUGCUGGUGCUAUAUUUAAUUUGGGUCCCAUUCCAAGUGUAGAGUUUUCUGGGGAUGCCAUUAUUUAUGAGGCUUCUCUGCCAGGAGGGCUCAGAGGCUCCCAGGGAACACUCCCUAUACACACACCAUCCCCAGCAACACCCUAGAGAUCCUUGUGGGAACAUCUGGGAGGACUUCUGCAUCACAGAGAUCUACAGUGCAUUGUGGUGUGAGCUCCUCUAUUCAGGGACUAGAGCUCAUUCUUUUGAAGCACAAUUUCAAAUCAGCCACACCCAACUGCAACAGUCCAGGAGAGGUAGCAGACCACAUCUUAGAGCCACCCCUUUUCAACUUCAGGCACCUAGGCAUGCAGGGGUUACUGUCUUGCUUUGUAAACCUGUUCAAACUAGGUGCAAAGUGGAUGUAGCAUGACACAUUUAGCAGAUGUGUGGCCUUGAGUGAAUGAUUUAACUUCUCUGAGCCUCAGUUUCCUUAUCAGAAUGUGGUAAUUGCAAUAUAUACUCGUGGGUUGGCAAGGGAAGUAAAGGGGAUGUUUAUAAACCUCCUGGCAUGCACACAAAGACACUUCCUGCCUGCCCUGCAGUCCCAAACUGCCCUUUGGGGUAGACCCUCAGCACCUACGUGCCUUAGAAACAGCAUCCCUGGACUCCAGAAGGACAUCCAGAAUCUGGAAGAGCAGGUCCUUAAAUCUUGCUGUAUACUAUUUCGUUUUCAAGGAAUUUCUUACAGGUAGCAAUUAUGAAACAAAUGUCACAAGAUAGCA